rnacentral:rRNA from 1 species
AUUGAACGCUGGCGGCAGGCCUAACACAUGCAAGUCGAGCGGAGCGGCGGACGGGUGAGUAAUGCCUAGGAAUCUGCCUGGUACUGGGGGAUAACGUCCGGAAAUGGGCGCUAAUACCGCAUACUAUCAGAUGAGCCUAGGUCGGAUUAGCUAGUGGGGGGGGUAAAGGCCUACCAAGGCGACGAUCCGUAACUGGUCUGAGAGGAUGAUCAGUCAAACUGGAACGGAGACACGGUCCAGACUCCUACGGGAGGCAGCAGGGGGGAAUAUUGGACAAGGGGCGAAAGCCUGAUCCAGCCAUGCCGCGUGUGUGAAGAAGGUUUUCGGUUUGUAAAGCACUUUAAGUUGGGAGGCGUUACCAGCAGAAUAAGCACCGGCUAACUACGUGCCAGCAGCCGCGGUAAUAC